GAAAAUGGGUAUAAGUGUUG
rnacentral:snRNA from 1 species